rnacentral:rRNA from 1 species
GGAUUGUAGGCUGCAACUCGCCUACAUGAAGUCGGAAUCGCUAGUAAUCGCGGAUCAGCAUGCCGCGGUGAAUACGUUCCCGGGCCUUGUACACACCGCCCGUCACACCAUGAGAGUUUGUAACACCCAAAGCCGGUGGGGUAACCUUUUGGAGCCAGCCGUCUAAGGUGGGACAGAUGAUUGGGGUGAAGUCGUAACAAGGUAUC